UACAUGGGGUGCAAACGUUGCUCGGAAUUAUUGGGCGUAAAGCGCGCGUAGGCGGUUACUCAAGUCGGAUGUGAAAGCCCUCGGCUUAACUGAGGAAGUGCACCCGAAACUGAGUAGCUAGAGUACCAAAGAGGGUCGCGGAAUUCCCGGUGUAGAGGUGAAAUUCGUAGAUAUCGGGAGGAACACCAAUGGCGAAGGCAGCUCGCUGGGACGGUACUGACGCUGAGACGCGAAAGCGUGGGGAGCAAACAGG
rnacentral:rRNA from 1 species